UGGGGAAUAUUGGACAAUGGGCGCAAGCCUGAUCCAGCCAUGCCGCGUGAGUGACGAAGGUCUUCGGAUUGUAAAGCUCUUUUGGCGGGGACGAUAAUGACGGUACCCGCAGAAUAAGCCCCGGCUAACUUCGUGCCAGCAGCCGCGGUAAUACGAAGGGGGCUAGCGUUGUUCGGAAUCACUGGGCGUAAAGCGCACGUAGGCGGAUUUGUUAGUCAGGGGUGAAAUCCCGGGGCUCAACCUCGGAACUGCCCCUUGAUACUGCAAAUCUCGAGUCCGAUAGAGGUGAGUGGAAUUCCUAGUGUAGAGGUGAAAUUCGUAGAUAUUAGGAAGAACACCAGUGGCGAAGGCGGCUCACUGGAUCGGUACUGACGCUGAGGUGCGAAAGCGUGGGGAGCAAACAGGAUUAGAUACCCGUGUAGUCCCUGAGCGGGCUGGCAAGGCG
rnacentral:rRNA from 1 species